UUGACCUCGGAUCAGGUGAGGAUACCCGCUGAAUUUAAGCAUAUCAAUAAGCGGAGGAAAAAAAAGAUAUAUUAAUUUUUUUAAAAUUUU
rnacentral:rRNA from 1 species